UACGUAGGGGGCUAGCGUUGUCCGGAAUCAUUGGGCGUAAAGAGCGUGUAGGCGGCCCGGUAAGUCCGCUGUGAAAGUCAAAGGCUCAACCUUUGAAUGUCAGCGGAUACUGCCGGGCUAGAGUCCGGAAGAGGCGAGUGGAACUCCUGGUGGUAGCGGUGGAAUGCGCAGAUAUCAGGAAGAACACCCGUGGCGAAGGCGGCUCUCUGGGACGGUACUGACGCUGAGACGCGAAAGCGUGGGGAGCGAACAGG
rnacentral:rRNA from 1 species